rnacentral:tRNA from 1 species
ACCGCUGUAGCUCAGCCAGUCAGAGCGCCGGUCGCAAGACCGGAGGUCACGGGCGCGACUCCCGUCAGCGGUG